rnacentral:rRNA from 1 species
UACAGAGGGUGCAAGCGUUAAUCGGAAUUACUGGGCGUAAAGCGCGCGUAGGUGGUUAGUUAAGUUGGAUGUGAAAUCCCCGGGCUCAACCUGGGAACUGCAUUCAAAACUGACUGACUAGAGUAUGGUAGAGGGUGGUGGAAUUUCCUGUGUAGCGGUGAAAUGCGUAGAUAUAGGAAGGAACACCAGUGGCGAAGGCGACCACCUGGACUGAUACUGACACUGAGGUGCGAAAGCGUGGGGAGCAAACAGGAUUAGAUACCCCCGUAGUCC